GCCAAUAGGGCUGCUUUUGCAGGCUACUUUGAUAUAGUAGAUUGAAAACGUUAUGUUUCGUUGGUA
rnacentral:tRNA from 1 species